GCUGAGAUAGCUUAGUUGGUAGAGCAUGAGACAAUCUCAUGGUUGUGGGUUCGAGCCCCAUGUUAGGCA